rnacentral:rRNA from 1 species
UACGGAGGGUGCAAGCGUUAUCCGGAUUUACUGGGUUUAAAGGGUGCGUAGGUGGGUAGGUAAGUCAGUGGUGAAAUCUCCGGGCUUAACCCGGAAACUGCCAUUGAUACUAUUUAUCUUGAAUACUUUGGAGGUAAGCGGAAUAUGUCAUGUAGCGGUGAAAUGCUUAGAUAUGACAUAGAACACCAAUUGCGAAGGCAGCUUACUGCACAGUGAUUGACACUGAGGCACGAAAGCGUGGGGAGCAAACAGG